rnacentral:rRNA from 1 species
UCGAGAAUCUUCCGCAAUGGGCGAAAGCCUGACGGAGCGACGCCGCGUGACUGAUGAAGUCCUUAGGGACGUAAAGGUCUUUUAUGGGGGAGAAAUCCUUCGGGAUGAUAGUACCCCAUGAAUAAGGAGCUCCAAACUCUGUGCCAGCAGGAGCGGUAAUACAGAGGCUCCAAGCGUUAUCCGGAAUCACUGGGCGUAAAGGGUGUGUAGGUGGCUUUGUUAGUCUCUCGUUAAAUCUCCCGGCCUAACCGGGAACAUGCGAGGGAAACGGCAAGACUAGAGGGUGCGAGGGGUCUGUGGAACUCAUGGAGUAGGGGUGAAAUCCGUUGAUAUCAUGGGGAACACCAAAAGCGAAGGCAGCAGACUGGCGCAUUCCUGACACUGAAACACGAAAGCGUAGGUAGCGAAUGGGAUUAGAUACCCCCGUAGUCC